AGGUUAGCGCAAGGGCUUGCGGGGGGCCAACUAGCAAGGACACCCGGGAAGUCUCGAGAAGAGCCGACUAUGAGGGUCCCAGCGUGUGCGACAGGUCGCGGGCGUGCGCGGAUGUUGUCGCAGGCAUUUAGCGGGAUCCGCUCAGCGCCAAAGUUGCCGCGCCGUUGGGGACGUCCUGAUAGGAGAGCUCUGAGAAGUGUGGGACUGAAAACGUUGAGGACCUUUGCACUGUGCCAGGGACCUCCAAGGUUAAAUAGGAUGUGAUUUGUGUUCCUGGGGCUUGAGGACAGUGUAGAAGAAUACGUAGGCUUACGUAGGUCCAAGCCUAAGUCCUUAAGCAGUGCCUCGCUUUAUGACAUAGGUGGAUGCUAACCAAGGUCGUAUAGUUUUAAAGCUGGAACUGAAUUCAUUAUCUUCCCCAGCUCCCACCCCGCUUCUUCGUUCAGUAAAUGCACCAGCAUCGGAGAAUGUGUUUUUGGAGACUGAAAUCUGCCCAGAGCCUAUGGAGUAGAGGAGAAGAUCACUAAACCAGUGGCUUUCACACUUCGGUGACUGUGACCAGUGAUGGAGCAGUGGUUUGUGCAGUGGGACUCACUCACUUAACCGAAGAUCCCCCAGUAGAGAAAAAGGACUAGGAGAAAAAGGCCACGUCACCAAAAGUUACCAGUGGCCAGAGGCCGCCUGAAGCAAACCACAUGAUCUACCUGGAACUGAAGCAACAUGGGAGCUUCUGCCAAGUGCCCUUAGAGCCUGCCAAAACCAGACGUUUCCAUGACUGCCAGAACAACAAGGCCUCCAGAUUUACAUCUGAAUGCUACUACUAUCUGUGUUUCAAAGGACAGGAGGAAAAUGCUCUAAUUAAUCAGCCGGAAAGGGGCUGAAUGGGAAUUCAUACGCAUGGGUGUGGCAGGCAGUGUUGAGUAAAAGGAGUAGAGAAAGAGCAGGUCGCGUCAAGAUUCAUUAAGCUUUAUUGACCUGGAUGGUGAUGAGAAGUCAAUAUUGGCUUCUAGUGGAAAGUUUUACUGGGGAUCAAAAUCCAAAGUGCAAAAGAGUUGUUUGAUGUUUUCCAUCACAGGACAGCUCAUUGGUGUGUAGGCUUGGCUAUAAUUUUCUUUUGCUUCUUGAGGCAAAGAUUAUAACAAGUAAAUUUGAAAGGAGAAAUAUAUUUCCACCUCCCACCUCCCGUGGUAGGAAAGGAGGGGUUACAUAAGGACUGACUAGGUUAGAGGGGGCCUGUCGCACAGGAAAUGGAACACAGGCCCCAGACUCUGCCUCCUUCCACCCUGCUCAGCUCUGAAGUGUCCCCAUUCCGGUGGCCUUUAUGUCCCUCACCGCCAUUUCUACCUCCUACCUGAGAAGGAUCUCUUUGGACAUAUUUGUUUAGGUUUGUUUGUUUUUACCCUAAAAUUUUGAGUGCCUUCUAGUGAGUUCAUGUUACAUCCAGUUUUCACACUCUGCUGGGGAAGGCAGACACAUGUAGGUAACACAUACCAGUGAUCAUUGUUGUAGUGGGGGAAUGAGAACGGUGCCAUUGUUGCUUGGAGGUGAGGCCACACGAACAUUGCAAAGUGCAGUCUGACACCCACUGCCUCUCUCUGUCCUGUGUCCAUUGCUGGAGGACAGAGCAAGGGUCAACAUGGAGAGCAUACCCUCUCCAGAUGGGUCUGGGGGUACUAGUACCCCCGUGCUCAGCGACAAAGCCUGGGUUGAAUGGUUCAAUCAGUAAUCCAGAAAUCAUGGCUGCAUGCCUGCUGUGGGCACACCUGCAUGCUAGAUUUUUUCUAGGGAGCAGGAUGGAUAAAGAAGGCAUGUGGGGGCUGCCCUCAAGGAGUUCAUAGCCUCACUAGAGAGGUAAAAACUAAGCUAGCAAGCAGAUGUGGUGGGAAGGAGUUUUUGUUUCUGUUCUUUCUUUUUCUUGGAGUUGGGUGCCUACUAGGGUGGGAUGCAGAGGGAGACAGACUCUUCUGGCAUGACUUGGUACAGAUGUACAAGCUGUGCACUGUACAAUUUGAGGGGGAGCCAUUCACAUAAACAGUGAGUGAUGCUCCUGGAAGAAUCCUGGGUGGUGUAGAAGGUCAAAUAAUUUUAGAGAUCUCAUGCCUGGGAGGCAGCCCACUGUGAAGUUCCCUAAUCCCAUUCUCCACCUGCCUGGAUCUAGUGCCCUCUAGAGCAGUGUUAUUCAAUAGAACUUUGUGUGGUGAUGGUGACACUCUAUCUGUGCUGGCCCAUGCGGAAGUUCCUAACCACAUGUGCCAGUUAGACACUUGAAAUGUUGCCAGUGUCACCGAGGAACCGAAUUUUAAAUGUUAUUUAAUUUUAAUUAAUAAUUUAAGUAGCUACCUGUGGCUAGUCGCUACUAUUGGAAAGCACAGCUCUGGAGUGAAGGAUAGAUAGCCUAACAAGAAGUAAGACCCCCCAGGAUGAGAGCAAAAGGAUAUAAAGUGACUAAGGGGCUAUUGAAGAGGAAGAAGACAUAGAUAAUUUAAGGGUGAAGACGUUUCUCUGCCAACCGUGAGGGAGCAGACAUUUUUUUAAAAGAUUUUAUUUAUUUAUUUGACAGAGAGAGCAAGAGAGGGAACACAGGCAGGGGGAGUGGGAGAGGGAGAAGCAGGCUUCCCAUUGAGCAGGGAGCCCAAUGUGGGGCUCGAUCCCAGGACCCUGGGAUCAUGACCUGAGCCGAAGGCAGACACUUCACAACUGAGCCACCCAGUUGCCCCAGGGAGCAGACAUUUAAACAGGGCCAAGAGCACUGAUGCAAAAAAAAAUAAAUGGCCAGUCACAUAGUAUAUGACUUUAUUUAUAUGAAAUAUCCAGAAUGGGGAAAACCAUAAAGUCAAAAAGCUGAUUAGUGGAGAAAUGAGGGAAUGGGGAGUGACCGCUUAAUGGGUCCAGAGUUUCCUUUUGGGGCAAUGAAAUGUUUGGAACCAGACAGAGGUGGGUGUUGUAUGACACUGUGAAUAUAUGAGAUGCCACUGAAUUUUACACUUUGAAACUGGUUAAUUUUAUGUUGUGGAAAUUUUACUUUAGUUGAAAGGACCCAACUCGCCUGCAGUGGAAGGGGAGCUGGUACUACUGACAAAAACAUGACCACUCCCAUGUCCCUAACUCUCCUUGUGAUCUCUAAAGAGGUGGAAUAUAUGAUAUACACCCCAAAUAAAGCACUUUUAUACAUUCUUCAGGACUCUGUGCGAAUGUGUGUGUCACAGCUAACAUGUAAGACCACUUGGAGUUUGGCCUGUCCCAUCUGGAACAGAGAUGUAUGCUGGUGUGAUCAAGGAGUAUAGUUAGGAAUGACCAAGGACUAGACCAUGUGGGUCUGGGGGAGGGGGUUGAUAUCAAGAUAGCUUGGAAGGGUAAACCUCAGUCAUUCAUUCGCUCUGAUUUGGUCAUUUGAGUUGUAUUAGGCAUUAUAGAUUUGAGAGCUUGAAAGGACCCAAAGUGGUCAUUAGGCCAUCCCUCUUCCCUGGGGCACUUACCACCCUCCAAGUGAAGGCGACCAGAUGGCCCAGCCUGGCAAUUAUAGAAGUAGUAGUUAGAGCAAUGGCUCCCACUUAUUGAGGGCUUACUCUGUGUGCAGAGCACUCUGCUAAGCAUAUCACAUGUAUUAUUCUGUUUAAUUCUCUCCACAACCCUGUGAAGUAUGCGUCAGUUCUAUUUCAGAGAUGAGAAAGCAGGUCCACAGCACUCAUUCAAACCAGAAAGCAAUGAGAGGCAGGAUUCACACCUACAAAUACCUGACCACAAAGCUUAUUCUUGUAACUGCUACUCUACAUUGCUUCUGAUGUUCUGUAUUUCUUUCACUGUGUUUCCGGGGUAAAAGUAGCAUUUUUAUGAAAAAAAAUCUCAUCACCAUGCCUUAGCCAUGUGUUAUGCAUUUCCUCUGCCAUAACUUUGUUUACGUCUCCUCUUCAUCUCUGAUUCUAUUCACCCUUCGAAGCCCAGCUCAGGCCCACAGUCUCCAGGAAGACUUCCCUUGUCCUUUAGAUCAGAAUGGUCUCUCCCACCUCUGGAUUCCUAUAGCACUUUUUAAAAUUUUUUUUAUUAACUAUUUUUUUAAGUGUUAAAAAUUUUAGCGUAUAGCUCAAUUAAUUGUUAUAUGUAUAUUACCUGUAUACCCAUCAGAUCAAGAGAUCAAACAUUGCUAGCACUCGGAAGAUUCCCUUGUGCCCCUUCCCAGUCCAUAGACGCCAUUAGCCUUCUGUUACCAUCUACAAAUUUCACCUGUUCUUAAAAUGUUUAUGAACAGGUCACGUAGUAUGUAGUUUUGUAUCUGGCUUCUUCAACCUGUGAUAUUUGUCUGUGAUAUUCAUCACACUGUUGUUUAGUGACAUUUUUUGCUUUUUUAUUGCUAUGUGGUAUUCCUUUGUACAAAUAUACCAUAAUCCAUCCAUUCUUCUGCAGAUGGACAUCAGGCCUGUGAUGCUUAGUUUUUUGUGUCAACUUGGCUAGGCUAUAGUACCCAGUUAACCAACCACUAACCUAGGUGUUACGGUGAAGGUAUUUUGUAGAUGUGUUAGCAUCUACAACCAGUUGAAUUGAAGUAAAGAAGAUUACCUGUGAUAAUGGGGGUGGGGCCUUCCGAUCAGUUGAAGGCCUUAAGAACAAAAACUGAAGUUUCCCAGAGAAGAAAUUUUGCUUUAAGACGGCAGCAUUGGGCAAAUGGGUGGCUCAGUCGGUUGAGUGUCUGCCUUCAGCUCAGGUCAUGAUUCCAGGGUACUGGGAUCGAGCCCCACAUUGGUUU